UACGAAGGGGGCUAGCGUUGUUCGGAAUUACUGGGCGUAAAGCGCACGUAGGCGGAUCUUUAAGUCAGAGGUGAAAUCCCGGGGCUCAACCUCGGAACUGCCUUUGAUACUGGGGAUCUCGAGUUCGGGAGAGGUGAGUGGAACUGCGAGUGUAGAGGUGAAAUUCGUAGAUAUUCGCAAGAACACCAGUGGCGAAGGCGGCUCACUGGCCCGAUACUGACGCUGAGGUGCGAAAGCGUGGGGAGCAAACAGG
rnacentral:rRNA from 1 species